AUUUCCAAGCAUCAGGUUGACGCGUACCCGACGCAACCGCUAGUAGACGGUAUUUUCGGUCAACAAAUGCAAAACCCUAGAAUUCAUUUUUUAGCCGCAGAGACACACCUAAGUUGUUCGGUCGAUAUAUAUAGCAAACCAAAUGAUACUCGUAAAUCUCUCUCUCGUGGGGAAGUGACGAGCAACUUCACACCGAGGCAUAUAUUUAAUCUCCAAAGUUUUAGGGGUGUGUUUAAACCAAGGGCGGAUCCAGUAUUUGGUGGGCUAAAUCAAAAUAUAUCAACCAAAAUCAACUGUUGUUUAAUUCAAUUCUAGUUAAUUAACAACGUUUCUUUAGACAAUUGACUGAUUAAGGCACAGAAAAUCCUAUUUGAGAAUCUACGAGUGGAAGCAGAGUGUGAGGUAGUUCAAGGCAAGCCCCUUUCAACACUAUGAAAUUCACUCAAAAGCAUGCUUUUUGUAAGUAUUUUAAUUUUCAAGAAGUAACUUUAGAGCUUUACCCUAUAUUAACUACUUUUGCUUGUCGAAGUUCUUGUUAUGAUUUUUAUUUUUUUAGUUCUGAAAAGAUUUUUAUCUUUAAAAAGCUUGGCAUUUUGAUAAAAAUUGUUUCAGAUUCAAUCUCUGCAGAUUUCUAAUCCAAUUCAGAUUCUUUUUUUUUUUUUUUUCAUAAAAAAUUUCACCAAAUAGGAUUUAGUUUGCAAAACAAGAAUUACAGAGCUUGAUUAGUUGAUUUAGAAAAAAAAUUAAAACAAAACCCAUACAUACAAGUUAGCAGUUGCAGAGAGAGAGAGAGAGGGGCAAGCUUGAGAGUUGAGAGACAGCGGCUGAAGCUUGCGAACGGCGAACCCGAACUGGAACAGUCAAUUGUCUAAGGAAACGUUGUUAUAUAUGGGUUUUGAACUUCUGAUUCUUGUAGAUUUUGUAGUUUGCAGUUGCAGAGAGAGAGAGAGAGAGGGGGCAAGUUCAGAGUUGAGAACGAUAUUUGAGAUGGAGGCUGAAAUGAUUUGUCCUAAAAAAUUUAUUUCCCUGGUGGCCCAUCAUCCAAGAGCCUAUAAAUUUUGAGGCCCGAAGCCUAUGUUGCCUUGGGUCAGGGCCGGCCCUGGGGUUAUUUGGCUUGGGCCUUUAUUUUAGUAUGGUGGCUGAGUUGACUGGGGCUUGAUUGGGUGGGCUAUUAAUAAGUUUUUUUCAUGUGGAUCUGUUCUUGGUUUAAACCAGAGCUGUGGUUCUUGCUACUCUGGUCUCCCCUUAUUUGGUACAUUUCCAUUAGAAAAUUAAUUUAUUUUGCUUUUAUGUAGUAGCUUUGUGGUCCGUUUGGUUGCCUAGAUAUUGAUAUUGCAUGAAAUUAAUAUUUAUACUAAUUUUAUAUAUAAACAGAGUUGGUUUGGCUUGUUUUAGAUCGUCUUCUUGGCAAACCAUACGAAUUCUACGAAGCAUAUGAUUAAUAUUGAUCUUUUGUCUUGAUGUCUUCCCUAAAACAAUUUUGUUUUUCAUAAGUUAUAUAUUUGCAGCAUUAGUUUGAUUGCAUUGGAUCUAUUAAUUUUGAUUAAAUGGUGGUCUUGGGACAGGCAAAAGAGACACUUGCUGCAGCAUGUAAUUUUGAUUAUGUUUUUAUUAUUCAAGGCUGUGACAUUUAGGCAAAGCAUGUAGUAAAGAUUGCAUUGUUACUUUUUUGUUUAUAGAGAAAUGGUAGGCGCAGUCGGUUGGCAACUAUGGUAGCAACUCGUUGCACAAGUAAAUGGAAGCUUUACACUAUUUGAGUAAUUUAUUGUAAACAAAAAAUUAAAUUGAGAUGCCCUUUCAUGCUAUUCUUAGGUGGUUUGUGACUGUAUUUUUGUCAAUCACAAAAUAUACCAAAUGUGUCGGCAUAUUGUGAUUGGCUGAGACCACAUGAUUACGUACUACCUAAUACUUUCUAGAUCCUCAAUAUCUUUAUAUACCUAAUACUUUCUUGAUCAUCAAUAUCUUUAUAUAUGAAACUUUUUCAAGAUCUACCGAUGGCAUUUUUUUUUUUUUUUUUUUUUUUGAUAAGUAAGUUCUACACAUGGCAUUUUUUUUUGAGUUUAUCCACCACAUCAAAGGAAUAAAAAACCCUCAAGCUUGACAGUUCAGCUUAACAAAUAAACCCCUCAGGCUUCAGUUCAGCAACUUCACUUAUUUUUCAUUACUUUUAUACAAGAAAAGUACUAAAACACUAAAAAAAAUAAUAAUAAUAAAAUUAAUGUUACUAUUAUUAAUAGUAGCGUGGAGUGGAUAGAUAAAGGCUAUAGUCUCUAGUUUACUUUCGUCUCUAGUUUACUUUUCUUUAUCUUUGAUUAUUAAGUUUAUUUUUAAGUUUUAAAAAUUAUUUUCAUUUAAAUUUCUACUUUUGUGGUCUAAUUUUCUAUUUUAUUUGGAGAGUGAAAUAGUGUGAGAUUUUUGUUGCAUAUGGUAGGAAAUAAGUUUUUAUUAUUUGGUACAGGAGAAAUUGAAAGGAAGAGUUGAAGAGAAUAAAGGAAAAAUAUAAAUUAAAUACAUUAGUUAAAAUGUUUAUCUCUUUACUAUGAUUAUUUACAACAUCCAAGCAUUAGGUUGACGAAUACCCGAAAACAAUCGCUAGUAGGCGGUAUUUUCGGUCAACCAUUGCAAAACCCUAUAAUGCAUUUUUAAGCUGCAUACACAUAGCUAAGUUGUUCUGUCUAUAUAUAGCGAACCAACUGAUACCUGUAAGUCUCUCUCUCAUCGGGGAAGUGAUGAGCAACUUCAUACCGGUAUGUCAUAAUUCAUAUAUAUAUGUUUAUAUAUGUAUGUAUGUAUAUAUUUGUGUAUAUUUUGACUCUUCUUUCAGCUUCCGAGGCAUAGAUCUGAUGAUCUGUUUCUUGAUGACUUUGUUCUAGAGGCAUAUAUAUAAUCUCCAAAGUUUAUGGAGUUUAAACCAGAGCUGUGGUUCUUGCUACUCUGGUCUCCCCUUAUUUGGUACAUUUCCAUUAGUAGCUUUGUGUUACCUAGAUAUUGCAUGAAAUUAAUAUUUAUAUUAAUGUUAUAUCUAAACAGAGUUGGGUUGUCUUUGUUUUACAUCCCCAUUAAUUUUCUAAGUCUUCUUGGUAACCAUAUGAAGUAUAAGAUUAAUAUGGAUCAUUUGUCUUGAUGUCUACCCUAAAACCAUCAUGUUUCUCAUAAGUUUAUAUUUGCAGCAUUAGUUUGAUUGCAUUGGAUCUAAUAGUUUUGAUUAAUGCCUCUCUUGGGACAGGCAAAAGAGGGACUUGCUUCAGCAUGUGAUUUUGAUUAUGUUUUUAUUAUUCAAGGUUGUGACAUUUAGGCAAAGCAUGUAGUAAAGAUUGCAUUGUUACUUUUUUGUUUAUAGAGAAAUGUUAGGUGCAGUUGUUUGGCGACUAUAGUAGCAACUUGCCGCUCAAGUGAAUCGAAGCUUUACACUAUUCGAGUCUUUUAUUGUAAACAAAAAAUUAAACUGAGAUGCCCUUACAUGCUAUUCUUAGAAUCCUCAGUGAGAAAUUAUUAGGUGGUUUAAGACCAUAUGAUCUUUGCCAAUCACAGGAUGCACCAAAUGUGUCGGCAUCUUCUGAUUGGCCAGGACCACAUGAUUCCGGACUGCCUAAUAAUUUCUACAUCCUCAAUCUUUAUAUAUAAAACUAUUUGUUAGGCCAAUUUGUCUAUCUCAAGGAUUCUUUGCCCUUUGAUGUAGUGGAUAGGACUCACAUUUGAGUUUAUUCACCAGGGAUAAGAACCCCCUUAACUUGACAAUAAUCAACUUCACUUAUUUUUCAUUAGUCAUACAAGAAAAGUGCUAAAACACUAGCAAAAAUAAUAAUAAAAUUAAUGUUUUACAUAAUUGUAUUAUUAAUAGUAGGCUAAUAGCAUAGAGUGGAUAGAGAUGAUAAAGCAAAUGAGUAUUAAAUCCAUCCGUACACAAAUAUUCUAGGAAUAAUGACUAUUUUAAUGUGUUAUUUUUGAAGUGAAGACAUUUUAUGCAGUUAUUUGCAACCUUAUUUGACUAAUGCCAUGCACUCCUACAUUAAAAAAAUUUAUCAUAAUUCCUGAAAAUCACAUUAAAUGCCAUAGUCUUCUAAACUAUUUUAUGUUUGAUAAUAUCUUUUAGAAAUAAUAUUUGAUUAUUUAUUGUAAAUUUAAAACCCUGUUAUUGGAUUUGGUUGGAAGGUAGAAUUUAGAGAGAGAGUGAAGAGUUAAACACAGAAUGAACUUGUGUUGAGCUAUCCUUUGCAAUGUUAAUAAUGGUUGCAGUAUAUUUAAUUUAUCAAAUUGUAUGUGCAUAUCAAUUUUGAACUUUUGUUUUAUUCAUAAACUAAGUAAGGUGCUUGUGUUCUUAACUGGUGUUGCGAGUGCUGCUGUUGUUAAGUGAUUGUGGCUAGGAUUUCUUUGAUUCAUAAUGCAAAAUUCUAUGAAACAUCAUUGCGUUUUUAGAUUUGUGCUUUACCUGACAUUGUGGAUUUUAAUUUUUUUAAGAAACUAAGCCUAUGUUAGUCUCAAAGUCACUACAUAAACUGUUUGAAAAAGGAUCGGGAUACAUAAAAUUGAAAGUCCUCGAAAUUCUCUCAAGUAGAAUCAUUUUGUGUUUAUCCAUUUAGUCUUAAUGUUGUCGUCACACAAAUGCCUCUCCUUUCGGCUGUAAGGACAAAGAUUUGCGUAGGGUAGUAACACUCAGAUAGGUGUGGCGGGUUUCUGUAUCCAUUCAUUCCGAAUCAAAAUGAUCUUUGUCUAUUUAUGUUUUAAGAAUAUAUGUUACAUGGACUCAGAUGUUUUUGUAUUUUUUUUUUUUUUUUGUUUUUUCCUUUUCCGAGUAAUAGAAAGUGUUUUUUUUUUUAACCCAUUUUUCUAAGCACUAGCUCGAAUUGUACCCUAGCACAGCUCCUAGCAGACUGUAAGUAUAGUUUAUUUUAAAAGUUUAUUUUACACUGUAGUUGAAUCAAGGAGAAUAAUUACAUACCCUCUAAAUUAUUAUUUCAAAGAACCAAAUUAUCUUUAAAUAAAAUAGUAGACAAUAUCAUUAUAAUAAAAAAAUGUAUAUUAAUUUUUUUUUUGAGAUACAAACCUCGGUUCCACAUUAGAUGUUCAUAUAGAGAAAUUGUAGUUUUUGAGGGGAUAUGUAUUUAAAGCAUUGUCUCUUUUUAAAAUUACUUCUAAUUUAAAUAUAUAUAAUUAGAAAGUUUGAAAUUUUUUAAAAAGGUAAAGACAAUGAUGGAAAUUUAGAAUUUAUUUGCUUUAAUUUUUUGAAGAGGAUAAUUAUUUUGGGACAUGUGAAAGAGAGAAAAAUGAAUUACGGGUGGAGUAUUUCAUUUUAGUUGACAGUAUCAUUUCUGCGGCCUGUAACGGCGUUCUUGAUUCAAAUUAUAAUAAAUUAAUGUUUUUGUGUUUGUGAAUUAUUGUAAAAUUAAAGGAAUCAACUCAAACAUGGCUUUAAUUCAAUGAUUUUGGGGGGUAAAUACGUGGAAAUAUUUGUUUUUAUAAAUUGGCUGUUCAAAUUUAGAUAUUGGCUUCUAUUGAAUUUAAUGUGCAAAUUUCGUGCCAUAUCUUGAUUAAUUAUAAAAUCAAAAUUUCUUCCAAAGUAUGAUUAAUUAUUAAAGUAUGGUUUAAAUUGUUCAAAAUAGCUGUUACUGUAGCAAUAUACUUUUUAAUUAAUAUUAAAUUGUUGGAAAUAACUGUUACUGUAGCAAUAUACUAUUUAAUUAAUUUGGCUGAAAGGCUGGAAUAUUUUUUUGCUCCUCAAUUCAAUUGUAAGUUUUAUGUACAACAAUAAAUAAAUAAUAAAAAUAAACAAAUUUUUUUUUUCAAAAUCUGUUAUAAUGUUUCAAGAUUUCUAUAAAAUUUCGGUGCCUUGUAGUUAUGUCCGUUUAUGUUUUGUCAGUCUCAUACUUGAAUAAAAAAGGAAAAGGAAAGAGCAUGUAAAAUUAACAUUUUGUUUUCCCUUGGUUUUCUUGAUUUAUUGUCUUCAUUCCUAUUUUUAGUGGUAAUAACAAUAGAGAGUAGUUUUCUUUAUUUAAAAAAAAAAACACAAAACAAAAGAAAACAAUUUUUAUAAAUGGAAAUUACUAAUUCUUCCUUCUUUCUCUCUCCUCUUUCCUCAAUUUUGAAUGGAUAGAAAAUAUAAAGCAAUAUAAAGCAAGUAGUCAUUUUCAACCUUUUCAAAAAUUAUAAAAUCCUUUCCCUUCCAACAACCAAAAAAAAAAAACAAAACGUGUCACUCAUUCAUCUUUAAAUAGGUAUGAGGAGAAAAUAUCUAGAAAAACAAAAUGGAGAAAUCUUAAUUUUACAUCUUCUAGUUUUUUUUUCUUGAUUUUGUACUUCGUUAAAAAAUUCUUUAUUUCUAGUUUUAUUUCAACAUGAGACCAAUAUAGAAUUGAAAUUUUUUCAGAACAUUCUUAAAGAAUCUGAAAAUAAAUUUUGUUUUCUUACUUCCUCCCUCUUUUCCCUUCCCUCCAAUUAAACACGAAAAAAUUCUUUUAUCCUCACUCUCAUCCAUCCCUUCUCAAUCAUUCUAUCCAAUCAAACAUAACAUAAAUUCAUCCAUUAAACAAAAUAUGUACAAAACAAUGACUAAAAUUUUAUAGGAAUCGGUAAAAGUCACGAUUGAUAUGUACUUAUUUUUUUAGUUAAAGGGUAAGUUUGUAUAAAUGAAGAAAAAAUGUACAUGGGGUAUCAAAGGACAACACAAAGCCCGAAGGCAACAAACAGAACAAGAGUUGAGAAGAACAAAAACUAAUAGUCAUCGCAUAGACCAAACCAAAAAGAGCAAAAACUAAAAGUUGCAUUCAUG